GGUAAGAGGGUAGAAAACCACAGAAAUAAGACUUAUAACUACCGGUUACUGGGUAGAAGGCCACAAAAAUAGGACUUAUAACUACCGGUUACUGGGUAGAAGGCCACAAAAAUAGGACUUAUAACUACCGGUUACUGGGUAGAAGGCCACAGACUCCGCCGGGGAAAAGAUGGACAAUUACUGGUUACUGAGCAAUCGUUCAUCUAAACUACGGGGAAAUGCAGGGGAAAUAACAAGAAGAGUCAAUCUAGGAACAAACCAAAGAGAC
rnacentral:lncRNA from 1 species